GAUAAACGCUGGCGGCGUGCAUUAGACGUGCAAGUCGAACGAACGACCUCGGGCUUGCCCGGGGAAGUUAGUGGCGAACGGCUGAGUAACGCGUAGGUGACCUGCCCUAGAGUGGGGAAUAACUGCCCGAAAGGGUGGCUAAUACCGCAUAUGGUCAUGAGUUCAUUCUCAUGUCCAAAGCCUUCGGGCGCUCUUGGAGGGGCCUGCGUUCGAUUAGCUCGUUGGUGAGGUAACGGCUCACCAAGGCGACGAUCGAUAGGUGGUCUGAGAGGAUGAUCACCCAGACUGGGACUGAGACACGGCCCAGACAACUACGGUUGGCAGCAGUCGGGAAUUUGCCCAAUGGGGGAAACCCUGAGGCAGCAACGCCGCGUGAGGGAUGAAGGCCUUCGGGUUGUAAACCUCUUUUCUCAGGGACGAUAAUGACGGUACCUGAGGAAUAAGCCACGGCUAACUACGUG
rnacentral:rRNA from 1 species